UGUGACACAUCCCGCCCAGUGCACAAGUGUUUGCCCACUAGGCCAGGCUGCGAUGUGCGGGCAUCCUUUCCCCACCGCUGUGAUUCCGGUGCUUGCACGCCGGGUGGGAAAUGGAGAGCACGGAGCUGGGCUCUGGGUUUGGCCUCCUUCUCCCCAUGGCAUGCACCUGGGUCAUGGCAACUAGUACAUGCCCAGCAAAGUAUUUGGUGGGGGCAGCAGAGGACACGACAGCUGGUAGUACACAUCAAAACAAGCUACGUGGAAUUAGUUGCAAAGAGAUUCUGCAUAGCGUUGCAGGUCUGAAGUUUCGUCAAGGUGAUCUCAAGAUGCUAUAAAUGCUGGGAGCAGAGGCCAUGAAUUUUAAAUACCCCUCCUUGCAGACGGCUUGCUUGCCAACUGCCAAGAGGGACUUGAAAUUACAGCCUCGGGCCUGAAAUAAGAUGCUAUCCUGGCGUGUUGCCAUUCUCAUGCUAAUCUUUGUCAUGAGGAAAGAUAAAAUAUGCCAUGUUCCAGUCUUGCUAUUAAAAUAAAAAGGAAUUCAGUUUUUUUGUGUUCCAUCUUCAGUUUUCAUCCCUAUCACAUUGCUAUCAGAUUGAAUUAUCACUAAAAACUUGGUGGGGGCCUUAUAGAUCUUUGUUCUCACUGUCUGCUCUCACUCACUUUGGCAGCCAAGAUUGCUAGAGCAGAAAAUAGCACGCCAUUAAGCCAGUCCACGGGUGGUAUUAGAACUAAAGAGGUUUAAUAUGACGCAGAGUAGUGAUGGGAAAUCCGUGGUCCUCUGAAUAUUGCUGGAGUCCAGCUCCCAUCAAUGGACAAGUAUGAGGGGAAUUUGUAGUCCAACAACCUAUGGAGGGCCAGAGGCUCCCCAUUUCUGAAAUAUAGCAAGAACAGGGAAUGUGAUGCUCGCUAGAUGUUGCUGCAACUCUCAUUCUCCCUAACCACUGAGCAUGCUGGCUGGGUCUGAUCGGAACAGGUUGACCAGCAGUUGUCCUUAUGUGGCCCUGAGAAGUAGCCCAGCUGUUCAAGGGUACUUCACAUUAUUUUCAUUGUACUUAUAACCAUUGUGUCUGGUGAAAGGUCAUUUUCCAAGGUGAUGUUGAGCAUAUAUAGUUGUUGGCAUCUGUCUGUCUUGAGAGACAAUGGAGUGAAGUCAACCCAAUGUGUUUGCAGUAGUGAAGUGACCUCCCCAGGAGUGGAGGAGUGUGUAUGGAGGUCCUGGGCUGCCCAGAUGGCAAGACUCUUGCUCUCGCUGAUGUGGUUCAAAGGAAAGAAGAGCAAUACGUUUGGCCCCAGCUUGGCUUCAGGAGUGGAUGGAAAGAGGCAUACAAGGCACCAUGCAACCAUCUUAGGGACUCCACACCAAGUGUGCCCACAAGAUGUUGCUGAAUGACAGCUCCCAUCAGCCCCAGCAAGCAUGGCCAAUGGGAUGGUGAGAGUUGUAGUUCUGCAACAUCGGGAGCCCGGAAGAUUCCCCUAGAAUCUUCUGUGAGAUUAGUUAGGCUGAAAGACAACAGCUUGUGCAAGGUCACUCAGAGAGCUGCAUGGAUGAGUCAGGAUUUGAACCCUGGCCUCCCAGCUCCUAGUCUAACAUGCUAACAGCUACGUUACUCCAGCUCCUGAAGUCUGGGAACAAACAAUGUGAAAAGGCUACUUCCCAUAUUUUUCUGUGUAUAAGACUAGCUUUUUUUAACCAAAAAGUUAGGUUUAAAAUUGGGGCUUGUCUUAUACACGGGUAGUGCUGAGGGGUGUUUUCUUAAUUUGGAGUCCCCCAAAAUAGGGGCAGUCUUAUGCAUGGGGGCGUCUUAUACCUGGAAAAAUAUGGUACCUUUGUGCCUGGAUUGUGAGACAGGGGUGAGGAACUUCUGGCCCCUCUAGAUACUGUUGGACCCCAACUCCCAUCAGCCCCAGCCAGCACAGCCAUUGGUCAGGGAUGAUGGGAGAUGUAGUCCAGAGGGCCACUGGUUCUCCACUCCUGCUGUAAGCUAUCCGGUUUUCCAGUGUUAAAAACAAGAUGGUGGACCAGACAGACCUUUGCAGGGCUCUUCCCAUGUGGAAUGAUCCCUGGGAUUUAGUGCAUAUUGACAGGUCAUCAAGUACUGAAAUACCAUUCACAUUCAAAUACUGGACUGUCAUUCAGAUUAAUUUAAAUGGCAGUUAGAUGGCAUAAAAAUCUGCCAAAAGCUGGGUGACAAAUAGCAAAUUCUGUCCAUGUUUGGAUAUUUAGCACAUACUUGAAAUGUGCAGGGCAGGGUUUUGAGGAGAAUGAAUGGGAGCAGAGAUGUUUCCAGCCAGUACCUCUUCUUCAUCCGUUCUCCCAGCUCCAACCUGCAGGAGCACAAAGUGCGAAGCUCACAGGAGAGCAUCUUUCCAAGAUCUGUCAUCUCCCUUUCAAGAAACUCUCUGAGCUAUGUCCAUUCCUCCAUCCACAUUUGUGACAACUUUGGGAAAUGUAUGAGUCUCCUUCCUGCUAGUGGCAUUAUAAAUGGUAAUGGGGAAAUCACGUUACUCUCAGAAUAUAGCUUGCUGCUCUCCCCGCCACUAUAAAUUUCAGGGGAAAUGACCUUUAAUAACAGUGAGAUGAGGAAGUUGGUUGCAUUAAUAAAGUUAGUCUCUGAGCUAGUCACGUGGCAGGUGCGUGUGAGCAUAAGCUUCUUGCUCCAGGUGGUCCAAAACUUUGUAGCGCCUCCGUACUAAAACUAGAAUUGACUCCGAUCUCUGGAUGGAUAACCUCCACCUGUUAAGGGCCAAACUACCAAAAACAAAACAAAACAAAGAAAAAAAACCCUUAGGAUGUUGUGGGACACAUUAGGUUGCUUGUUUGUUUACUGUGCAUGGUUCUUUACAGAGUGCAAAUUGGUAAUCCUGUCUCCCCCCAUAGAGGCUACAAUCCAAAAUUCAACACAGAGUGAAACAGAGGCAGUGGUUGUUGGUGCCCAUUGGAGCCAAUAGGACAGAAAGAAGAUGCAGCCAGUGUCAAAGAAAGUACAGCCACUCCAUCACUGGUUGCAGGUAAGAAGGCAGGCAGGUGACAGUUGGCUGAAGCUGGUGGAGCAUUGCCCCGUUCCCCCCAAUGGACCAGCCUACUCUAAGGAAAGGGAGGUAAGUGGAGGCAGGGAUAAGCAGGGCAAGUCAUAUUGCAGAUGGGUGGGGGAUGAUGAUGAUGAUGCAGUUGUUCCAGUUGAACAGCCUUGGGUUUUGCUACAGUGGGGCAAGGGAAACUGGGGGCAGGAAGCUGUGCCAAAGGCUUCUAACAAAAGAUGGUGCCUGAGGUUGGAUUUUGAAACACCAAAGGUGGUGGCAUCACACCCCGUGCUGUGGGAGAUGAAUGAAUGCAUGAAAUACUAUCCAUCAAGCCCACGCUUAGAUUUUAAACCAGUAGCUAUUAGGUGGUUUCAUGUUACUGAGCAUCCAGGAAAUGCCGCUGAAAGUUUUUCCAGCAGUUAAUAAUCACACAUCAGGCUAUGUCCAGUACACCAACCAUAAGAUGCAGUUCAGAUCCUGGUUUGCUGCUUGGGAAUACAGCCCAAUUUGUGUUUGGACCAAUUUGGGAGCUACCUGAUUCAGCUGGCAUCCAAAUCCUGAUCUGGGAAAACUGAAGCUUUGUGCGUUUGAACAUGGUUUCCCCACCACCACGACGCGGGUGGCACUGUGGGUUAAACCACAGAGCCUAGGACUUGCCGAUUGGAAGGUCGGGGGUUCAAAUCCCCGCGACAGGGUGAGCUCCCGUUGCUCGGUCCCUGCUCCUGCCAACCUAGCAGUUCAAAAGCAUGUCAAAAGUGCAAGUAGAUAAAUACCUUCCAGCAGGAAGGUAAACGGCAUUUGCGUGUACUGCUCUGGUUCACCAGAAGCGGCUUAGUCAUGCUGGCCACAUGACCUGGAAGCUGUGCACCGGCUCCCUUGGCCAAUAAAGCGAGAUGAGCGCCACAACCCCAGAGUCGACCAUGACUGGACCUAAUGGUCAGGGGUCCCUUUACCUUUACCUUUACCUUUACCCCACCACCACAAAAUUGGGUUGAAUGUGCUAGUAUAUUAUCCCAACCUGAGUGGAUAAAGCUGACCAAAUUCCAGAUAAAUAGAUCCAGGGUUUUUUGUGCUAGGCACGUUUAGAGUUGUCUUUCUUUAUUUAUAGGAGCCAUAUAUAACUUUUAAAAAUGGCUAAAUGAGAUGAAAUUUGCAGGCAUGAUACCACCUUCUGAGGGGAUGAAUACUGCCAAAUUUUAGUGGUUUUCCUUAAAGGGCUGCCUUUACUGUUUUAGGUUGGUUAAGCUAGGGCUAACUUUGGGUGCUACGCUGGUGAUGAUGUGCACAUUAGCUAAAUAGAGACAUCAAAAGCAUUUCAGAAUUCCCAGUGUACCUCUGAACCUGGAGCCCACUAGCCACUUCCAUGUGUGGUAUCCCUCAUUCACAUUUGGGGGGGGGGCAAGCCCUAUACAUAAAUCCCUUAGCACAUUCAGAACUUUUCCCUGUCGCUGUAGAUUUUAUCUCCCCUCUGAACUUUAGAUAUCUAUUUCAACAUGCCACUGCUUUACCAACUCUGUUAUAGGAACUGUGAAAAAGAAAUAUGGAUCCUAGGAAACCUCUCCCAGGUUUUUUAUAAGUGCACGAGAUAAAACGGAUAACAUGGGGUCUCAAGAGUAAUGUGUGUUUUUAUCAGCAAAAAAAAAAGGGGGGGGAGAAAAAGACAGAAAGGCUUAAGGCAUCCGAAAAUUCAUGGAAAUCCUUGUCAGAAACCACACAAUGCAAUUGUUAAAACGGUAGCGUGAAGUUUGCUUGUAUUACCAUAUCGACAGGCACCUUCCAUUUGACAACUCUUUUGCUGCCAUGUCGCUUUUUACAAAGAACAGAGGGUUAAGUAUCGCAUGCAUACGAGCAUACAAUAUUGCCUUCUACAAAGUCAGGUCUGCCUUGCCCCACAGACUGUCAGUGUGUGCCUUCCACAGGUUGUUGUACUACAUCUCCCAUCAUCUCUGCUCUUGGGACAUGGUAAUGUGGGAUGGAGUCCAACAGCAGUGGCUCCCUAAUUCCACCCUGACCUGGACCACUUGAAAAUCGCUGAGGGUCUUGGCAGAGCUUUCCAAACUGUGUCACAACACAUUAGUGUGUCAGCUGCAGUGUGUAGGUGUGUCGCGCAAAUGCUCCCCGCGCUCCUUCCAGGGCUGGAAAGGGGUUAGUUUAACCUUUGGUUUGCUAUCAAAACUGAAUUACUAUGCCAUGAAAUGAUUCAUGUCUCCAAAGUAUGUCACCAACAUGAAAAGUUGGGAAAGCUCUGACUUAAUAAUUUUUCUGCUGGUUGUUUAGCAACUGUAAUGUGUUGUGCUAUUUUUAAAAAAUUAUAUGGGGUGGUAUUCAACUAGGUUUUACUCAGAGAAAACCCACUGGAAUUAAGGGACCUAACUGCACCAUGCUCAUUAAUUUAAAGGGCCCUACUGUGAGUAAAACAGAGAUGACUAUCAACCCCUACAGCUAUGCCUUGAGCAACUGAUUGACAUGUUGGCUGCACUUUUCACUGAAAAGUUUCAACCAGGGGUCAGCAAACGUUUUCAGCAGGCGGCUGGUCCACUGUCCCUCAGACCUUGGGGGGGCGGACUAUAUUGGGCGGGGGGAAUGAACAAAUUCCUAUGCCCCACAAAUAACCCAGAGAUGCAUUUUAAAUAAAAGGACACAUUCUACUCAUGUAAAACAUGCUGAUUCCUGGACUCUAUGAGGGCCAGAUUUAGAAGGCAAUUGGUGUGGAUCUGGCCCCAGGCCUUAGUUUGCCUACCCAUGGUUUCAACAGUUGGCUUCUGCACAUCAAGGAGCACUAGCAAAGUUCCCAGUCAUGCCAGCCCACCCUGCUAUCAGCUAACAAACCUAGGAAGACUGCAGUCCACCCCUGGCUGACCUCCAACAGACGAUCUAGCAUAUCCUGGCUCCUAGGACUAUUGCCAAGAAAUCUGGAUCAAGCAGACCUUGGUUUCAAUGCAAUAAAAUAUAAUUAGAUAUAUAAGAAGCAAAGAAGAGAAUAAAAAUAAAUGAAAUGAAAUAAGUAAAUAAGAUAGAGCCGCUGCUGCAGACCUCCUGAACGAAGCUCACAACCAUCAGUGGUCAACAGAACAUACUUUGGGAACUCCUGAUUUAGAAGGCAACAAGUUGAGCACCCCUGACCUAGCCCACUGCUGCCCCCUCCAGCUGGCAGCUGCUGGCAAAAGUCAAUCCUGUCAUCUGCUACCUGAGCCUGUUAACACUAGGGUUUGCCCCUGGAAAUUCCUGUAUGCACAGCAUGUUGUCUGUGCCCCCAACCCCUGCAAAAUGGGGGGGGGAUGCAGCCAGGAAUGGAGACGAUGCAACAGAGGAGAGUGGGGUUCGGGGGAAAUGGCAGUAGUCAACAGCAAAUUGAAACUGAUGCAACUGAGUAGGAAAUGGGUGCAAGAGAUAAUUCCUCGGCAAGGGCUUGGGGGAGGACAAGAGCCUCAUUGCACACCUGAGCCUUGCCUCUUGCGAUCUUACAGCUUGAUCCUGUCCACUGCCAAGAAACCUUUGUCACAGUUGCUGGUUUGUGCCACAGCUCUCUCCCCAGUCACCACCAUACAGAAUGAGAAACCCAUCCCAUAAUGUUCCUAGCUGGUGCAAGAUUGUGUUACCUCCCCAGAUUUAUUUUUAUUUUCUUUCAUAUGCUUAUACACUGCCCCCCCCCCCCACUUACAAAUGCCCUUUACAUUCCGCUUUUGUGCUUUUCCCAAAGCACAGGCGAAGUAGCAGUACUGGAACCUGGAGCAGCAGCGCUGAAUAUAUAAAAUAGCACUAAUAAUAUUAUAGCCUGCUAAAGAGUUUGAUUUGCAUGGAGUGCAUCUGUCACCGAACAGCACUUGGUAUUUGCAAGCCCUUUCAUUCUCUCAACCUCACAAGUUCCAUAGGGAACAAACAGACACGAACUGAUUUCCCCUGCCUCUUCCUUUCUUAUACGCAGGCUGGUGCGCAUUCUGCGUUUUGCAGUGGGUCCAGAGAGAUUGUUUCCACCAACGGUCGGCUUAGGGAGCUGCGCAUCUGUCCCCUUCGCUCCUCAUAAGACUUAACCGAGACUUGCCAGUGAAACCACGCUUUGCUGUCUCUGUGUGCAGAUACAUGAGAAGCCUCGAAUUUCCAUAUGAAUUGUAUCAAGCAUUUGAAAACACGCCAGCUUGGGUUUGGGG